rnacentral:rRNA from 1 species
GGAGCAAGGCUCGCGUCUGAUUAGCUAGUUGGUAGGGUAAUGGCUUACCAAGGCGACGAUCAGUAGCUGGUCUGAGAGGAUGAUCAGCCACACUGGGACUGAGACACGGCCCAGACUCCUACGGGAGGCAGCAGUGGGGAAUCUUAGACAAUGGGCGCAAGCCUGAUCUAGCCAUGCCGCGUGUGUGAUGAAGGCCCUAGGGUCGUAAAGCUCUUUCGCCUGUGAUGAUAAUGACAG